AACACCGCACGCCUCACUGACUUGCUCGACCGCUUGCGCGACAUCGUUCACAAGUGCUCCUCGUCCACCGACACGCCGUGCCACCUCGACACGCUCCUCUCCUGCCUCGAACGCGAGUCGUCCACCUCGUCCCCCUCGCUUCCCGCUCGCCAACUCGCUUACAUCGAGGCUCUCGCGGCUCUCUCGCCUGACAGUGCAGACGGAUGGGAGGAGAAGGCUGCUCAGGGCGUCGUAUGGACGAAGGAAGCGCUCGAGCAGCUCGUUGAGGUUCUCGAGAAGGUGGGCACCGGAACGACCGCGGACUUGGGCGAGGGUGGAUUGGACGGCGAGAGUGCGAGGAAGGACGUACUGAGUGCGAGGGUCGUGAGCUGGCUGGAGGGAAUCGCGGAGCAUGUUGCCAGGCAGGUCGAGGAGACGAAGGACGCGAAGGGAAAAGGAAAAGCUGUCGAAGGACAUCCCUCACCGUGCACCCAGUCGCACCCGCAAAACUGGCCCCUUCCUCAGCAACAAGGCGACGCCGACUCAGGCCUACCGCCAGCGAACUCUCUCUCGCCGUCAGCCUCGGCCUCGCCGUCCCUCGCUCAGCCCACCCUCCACGCCUCGAGGACUCGUGCCCCUCCGCCCAUCUCCCCUCCCAUCACAGUCGGCCCGCCACUCUCGGCAGUUUCCGAACCGGCGUCGGCAACGACGAGUCAAGACGAGGGUCGCAAUGUCGGAGAGAAAGACCCCGUGGGCGUCUUCCUCCGCGGCGCGAUCUGGGAGAAGUGGCACGCUUGAGACUGUACAUCGUUUUCUUCCUCAUGUACCCUUCGUCACCGGCCUGUCACCCUUUUCGUUGCUCGUUCAGCUGUGCGACGUCGCUGUACUUGUCCUCUGCGACUACUCUCGCUCCGCAUCUUGGUUCCGGGCUGGCUCGUCUACAGCUCAUACUUGCGCGGCAGGGGCGACUGUGACGGAUUCUGAUCGGGUUUCGACAUGCCUCUUCCAACCCGCUUUCCGCCUUUCCCGCCUUCCUUUCGCCUCUCAACAACUUCCCAACGACUCUGGCGGCCAUGUACAAGAUCCCCGUUCACUUUGAACUGAAUGCUUAGGCGUGCAGCAGCCAAGGUGGUCCUCUGAGCGCCCAAAAACCGUUGGCUUUCGGAUCAACAGCCGAGCAAGAGCACCCGCAACGAUCAGGAAUGCAUACAGAGGACGAGAAGGCACCGCAAACGUCUGACUGAGAGGCUGCGAACCAGGAGGAGCGGACAGCUAGAAACGAGGGCGGGAGGAGGAAGGCAGGACAAACGGCGGGUCACCUUCCCGCGAUGGAGGCUGGUUGGCUGGAGUAGACUCACGACUCGUAGACGAGGCUGGAGGACGAACCGCUCAGCCUGUACGACGAGUUCGGUGGAAUGUCAACCUCGCUCAAAGUU
rnacentral:misc_RNA from 1 species